GAUGAACGCUGGCGGCGUGCCUAAUACAUGCAAGUCGAGCGAACAGACGAGGAGCUUGCUCCUCUGACGUUAGCGGCGGACGGGUGAGUAACACGUGGAUAACCUACCUAUAAGACUGGGAUAACUUCGGGAAACCGGAGCUAAUACCGGAUAAUACAUUGAACCGCAUGGUUCAAUAGUGAAAGACGGUUUUGCUGUCACUUAUAGAUGGGUCCGCGCCGCAUUAGCUAGUUGGUAAGGUAACGGCUUACCAAGGCAACGAUGCGUAGCCGACCUGAGAGGGUGAUCGGCCACACUGGAACUGAGACACGGUCCAGACUCCUACGGGAGGCAGCAGUAGGGAAUCUUCCGCAAUGGGCGAAAGCCUGACGGAGCAACGCCGCGUGAGUGAUGAAGGUCUUCGGAUCGUAAAACUCUGUUAUUAGGGAAGAACAAAUGUGUAAGUAACUAUGCACGUCUUGACGGUACCUAAUCAGAAAGCCACGGCUAACUACGU
rnacentral:rRNA from 1 species